CUAUGUCCGUCUUCCUUACUGGAACAUUAACAAAAACCUACACGGUCUCUUUCAUUCCUUCAUUCUGUUCCACUUUUAUUUUCUUUCAGUUUCUAUUUAUUUAUAAAAUUGAUUUCAUGUUUAAACUUUCUCCAAUUGUUAUGGUACGUUUUCUUGCGAGAAUUUCGGUGGAGAAUUUAGCAGACCCCGAUUCCUUCUUCUACUUCUCCUCUCCGACUUACCUAUUUACGAGUUUGACCUUGCAUUUACUUCGAGGAGAAGGGAGAAUUACAAAUAUGCAGGAUGGAGCAUAGGAAACUUCAUAUUAAAAACUCUACCAAUUUUUCGAAGAAACUGUCAUAUUGUUAUAUCGCAAGUACACCGACCUUAAUUCUAUCAAAUCAAGGGUAAGCUACAUAAGCAAUAUAUUGAUCUUUUUCUCCAACAACGCGCUCGAUGCGGUAGCAUCGCCCUUUGUAACGAUCAAGACUGGUAAGUCCAUCGGUCCAUACAGUUGUCCAUGUACCAGUAGAAGAUUCGGCAGCUACCGCGGCCCCUGCUUCUUCAGGUGGAACUCCAGGUUGAGGAGUUACUCGGAACAUAGGAUCAAAAGUUCAGGAUGAUGUGAUCCAAGUCAAUGAUGAGGCAAAGCAUUUCCUUGACUUUGUCCAUCGAGUCAGUAGCACGCUUGCAAAGGGUAGAAAGCGGACAGAUGCCAUCCAAUCGGAUGUGAACAAAUUUUAGAAAUCCGCUCUUAGAGUUUUUAGAUAUAAUGGUUGUGGUCACGUGUUUGACGAAAUUCCCAAAUGAAGGCAAUACUUAUGUGUUGUGAAAAUUGAUCAGUUUCAACAGCUGGGUUGUCUUGGCAGAUGUAAUGAAGUUGAACUAUCUACUAAGAGUGGUUCUUCAAAAAGAGUAGUGGAUGGGCAUCAAUGCAGGCUGGUUCCAUUCCCAGGUGGUUCAAUGUCAAACUGAUCCUAUUCAUUAAUUUGCAUUUGUAGUGCCCGAAUCAACUCUGUUUCAAAUUUAAGAGGAUACAGUCCAUGAGGAAAAGCUAAGUUCUACAGGGUCCAAAUAUUGUAGCAAUCAUACUCAGAUUGUAUUGUUAAGGUGUUCAAAAAUUGUCGUGUCAGAUCAUAUGAAUGGAUUGUUGGUGUUCUGUGGUAAUACGAAGUUCUACUUUAAAGAUUACAGACUAGCUUCAUGUUACAUAUGAAUAACAAGAUUCAAUCGGACAUAGAAGAUAGUCUCCAUGUUCUAAGGAUGUGGAGUAGGCUGGGGAAGAUGUAGCAAACAUUAUAUAUGGAAGAUCUUAUAGGUUUUUUGUCAAAAUCUUAGCUUGUGACAGCAAUGCAGGGAGAACUUUUGAUGGAUGGAUUUUUCUUUGCAUCAACUAUUGAAGACUUAUUUAGUUUUUGAGUUCUUCUCUAUUUUACUGGAACUACAGUGAUUACAAAAUUCCUUUUUUAUAUGAUGUAAUGAUAAUUAAAAUGCUUUUGAUUCAAGUGUAGAUGAAUAAUGACACGGUAGACAAAUCAAAACUCAAAUCAUUUUUUCAA